UACUGAAGUUCAGGAUUCCAGCCAGGGU
rnacentral:piRNA from 1 species